rnacentral:rRNA from 1 species
CAAUAGCGUAUAUUAAAGUUGUUGCGGUUAAAAAGCUCGUAGUUGGAGUUCUGCCAGGUGCCGCCUGUCCGCCCCAGUGGUGAGUACGUGGCGCGCAUUUGGCCCUUUCAAGGGGAGCGUAUCUGCACUUUAUUGUGUGGUGCGGGAUCCUUGACUUUUACUUUGAGGAAAUAGGAGUGUUCCAAGCAGGCUCUCGUCGUGCACAGCUCAGCAUGGAAUAAUAGCAUUGGACCUCGAUUCUAAGCUGUUGGUUGCCAGAAGCGAGGUAAUGAUGAAGAGGGAUAGUUGGGGGCAUUCGUAUUUAACUGUAAGAGGUGAAAUUCUUGGAUUUGUUAAAGACGGACUACUGCGAAAGCAUCUGCCAUGGAUGUUUUCAUUGA